CUUGAAAAAAUAUAAGAGGUCCAGCCUGCCCAGUGACCUAGUUCAACGGCCGCGGUAUCCUAACCGUGCGAAGGUAGCGUAAUCACUUGUUCUUUAAAUGAGGACUAGUAUGAAUGGCAUCACGAGGGUUAAACUGUCUCCUUUUUCUAAUCAGUGAAACUAAUCUCCCCGUGAAGAAGCGGGGAUUAUUUUAUAAGACGAGAAGACCCUAUGGAGCUUAAAACAAACCUACAAUUGCUUUAAUAUGCUACCCUCCCGAGGACUCACAUAAAUUAUAGCAUAACUGAUAAUUAGUUUUCGAUUGGGGUGAUCAUGGAGAAAAAACCAACCUCCACGACGACAAGGGGAUACCCCUGAGCCAAAAGCCACAGCUUUCAGCACUAAAAAAUUAACGCACCUUGACCCAAUUAUUUGAGCAACGAAC
rnacentral:rRNA from 1 species